CUUAUUUACAUGUGGAAACCUCAAGUGGCGUUGUGGCCUCUUUGACCUUGAUGAUGUACAAAUGUACAUACACAAGAGACAGACUGAAACACAAACCUAAAGGAAAAGCUAUUAAAUAAAAUUUUUUAUGAAGAUCAGAGAUAACCAAGAACUUUCCAUGAAAGUGGCUUCCAUAAAAAAAUAAAAAAUAUCAAUUAUGUGAAGUGAGAACUUCUUUUGCACAAAUCCAUUUGUUUCAGCCACAUUUUUUUGUAUGAGAUGGAAGAAGUCCUGGAUUUGGGCUGGCCUGUGCAGAAACCUGUUGCUGUGUGGAGAAUUGUGGAAUGAUUAAGGUUGGAAAAAAACACUAAGAUCAUCUAGUCCAACCACUAACCCAUCCCCACCAUGCCCACUGACCACAUCCCUCAGUGCCACAUCUAUGCGGUUCUGGAACACCUCUAGGGAUGGUGACUCCAUCACCUCCCUGGGCAGCCUGUUCCAAUGCAUCACCACUCUUUCUGAGAAGAAAUGUUUCCUAAUAUCCAACCUGAACCUCUCCUGACACAACCAGGCACACCCACACAUAGGAUAGAAGUCCCUCUGGAUAUUCAACUGUCAGCCCUGUUUCUGUACCUUUCUGAAGAUGACUUCUUAGGAGAAGAUCUUUCCACCAGUGAACUGAACAAGCAAGAUCUGAAAAACCUCAAAUAUUAAUUUAUUUCGGCAUAUGACCAUAAUGAGACAAAACCCCAACGUUAUUUCAAAAUUAAUAUCCUUACAUUUUAUUCACUUUCAUGAUUUUCUCACUGGAGAGCCCAUGAUAUUCGCAUGUACCAGGAACGAAUGCAUACUGAUUCCUGUCAAACAACCUCUGUUACUGCCUAGGUAAGUAACUCUGCCUUCAAAAAAGAACCUUUCCUAUUUGGCAAUGCAUGCACCAGGCAUAUGUAGAGUUUUAGCUUUCAGAUUGCUUAGAUCGAAGUUAUUAAGCCAUUUCCUGAAGGCUUUUUUUUCACUUUUGCUAAGAAGUUGCUAAGGACAACCAGCCUUCAAACAAAAGCCAUCCAAGUGGAUGGCAGAUAAAGAUUUCAUUCAGCAUAGGUAUCCCAGCCCUUCACAGUCAGAUGCACUCUAAAAUGGCCUACGCAGGUCCUUCGCUCCUUUUGAGAGUUUUUCACUAAUUUAUAUACUUAAGAAAGCCAUAUGCACCUUGUAAACAGGGCCUUGUGCACAUGCCUUGAUGAGUG
rnacentral:lncRNA from 1 species